rnacentral:tRNA from 3 species
GCCGGGGUGGCGGAAAGGUAGACGCGGCGGACUUAAAAUCCGCUACCUUCACGGGUGUGUGGGUUCGAUUCCCGCCCCCGGCACCA